GAUGAACGCUGGCGGCGUGCCUAAUACAUGCAAGUCGAGCGAACAGACGAGGAGCUUGCUCCUCUGAUGUUAGCGGCGGACGGGUGAGUAACACGUGGAUAACCUACCUAUAAGACUGGGAUAACUUCGGGAAACCGGAGCUAAUACCGGAUAACAUGUUGAACCGCAUGGUUCAACAGUGAAAGACGGUCUUGCUGUCACUUAUAGAUGGAUCCGCGCCGCAUUAGCUAGUUGGUAAGGUAACGGCUUACCAAGGCAACGAUGCGUAGCCGACCUGAGAGGGUGAUCGGCCACACUGGAACUGAGACACGGUCCAGACUCCUACGGGAGGCAGCAGUAGGGAAUCUUCCGCAAUGGGCGAAAGCCUGACGGAGCAACGCCGCGUGAGUGAAGAAGGUCCUCGGAUCGUAAAACUCUGUUAUUAGGGAAGAACAAAUGUGUAAGUAACUAUGCACGUCUUGAUGGUACCUAAUCAGAAAGCCACGGCUAACUACGUG
rnacentral:rRNA from 1 species